rnacentral:lncRNA from 1 species
CUUGUUCCAGUAAAUGGGAAGAGGGGAGGUGGUAGGUGUCAUGGUAGGUGUCAGUAAGAGCUGGGAGAAGUGACAUUAAUUGGACAGAGAGAAGAGAGAAAGUGAGAGGGACGGAUUGUCCAGACUGUUUUCACAGUUGCUUUGAACACCUGACAGAAAGAGAAGAAAACAGUUAUGAGCUGAACAUAACAGUAUGCCAGUGGAAAGGAGGACAGUAGCAGGUGACCCUAUGAGCUGAACAUAACAGUAUGCCAGUGGAAAGGAGGACAGUAGCAUGUGACCC